AUUGAACGCUGGCGGCAGGCCUAACACAUGCAAGUCGAACGGUAACAGGAAACAGCUUGCUGUUUCGCUGUCGAGUGGCGGACGGGUGAGAAAUGUCUGUGAAACUGCCUGAUGGAGGGGGAUAACUACUGGAAACGGUAGCUAUUACCGCAUAACGUCCCAAGAGCAAAGAGGGGGACCUUCGGGCCUCUUGCCAUCAGAUGUGCCCAGAUGGGAUUAGCUAGUAGGUGGGGUAACGGCUCACCUAGGCGACGAUCCCUAGCUGGUCUGAGAGGAUGACCAGCCACACUGGAACUGAGACACGGUCCAGACUCCUACGGGAGGCAGCAGUGGGGAAUAUUGCACAAUGGGCGCAAGCCUGAUGCAGCCAUGCCGCGUGUAUGAAGAAGGCCUUCGGGUUGUAAAGUACUUUCAGCGGGGAGGAAGGGAGUAAAGUUAAUACCUUGGCUUAUUGACGUUACCCGCAGAAGAAGCACCGGCUAACUCCGUG
rnacentral:rRNA from 1 species